CGCAAAAAAAAAAAAAAAAAAGUAAAUGCACAACAUUUAAAGUAGAAACACAAAUGGCUAAUAACAUUUCUGGAAAACAGUUUCAUCCAACAAAUAUUGAUCUGCUGAGUGCUGGGCCCUCUGCUAGAUGCAGGGAUACAAACAUGAUGGAUAUACUGUUCCUGCAGUUCAGGAGCCCGUAUUUGCUGGGCUAUUUCAUGAUAUAUACCUAGAGUCUUGAAAUUACAAAAGGUAAACUGUUUUCUCACCCUAGAGUCAGUUAUGUAAAAGUGCAGGGGUAACAAACGACACCGACGAUUACAACCGUUAAGACUUCGAAUUUGCAUUCUACCGUGAAUGUUUUCAUACUUCUGGUCCUGGUAAUUCCACUUUGAGCCUCUUAAAUCAAAUGAUCAGUGAUGUGAUUUCUACUCUUCCCUCCCUGAUAAGAGGAGAGUCUUGGAUUUGGUCCAGAAUGGAGCUCUGAGAUCAGGAAGUACACAAGGUUGACCUGUGGGUUAAGAAAGUAACUUGCAGCUUUUUUGCAAUGUUAUUAUUUGUUUUUAUAAUUUCACAGAAAGGCCUAAGACAUUUUAAAAUCUUGCAAGAUAUCCAAGUGAUACUAGCCAAAUUGCCCAUCUUGGUUUCUGGGCAAUAUCCCCAAGAUAUGGUAGAGCCUACUCAUUACCAACCAAAUAUCCAUUCUGACUUGCUAUAUCAAAUGAACAGAACUCCUUUUGCCCUUUGCCACGAGCUAAAAGACUGUAUUUCCCAGCUCUCUUGCAGCUAUGAGUAGCUUGAUGGCUAAGUUCUCGCAAACUGAGUGAAAACAGAAUGUUGUGUGAAACGGCAAAUAUUUCACUAGAAUCCAAUCUUAAAUAAAACUACUACAACAAAAAUCAUGCUAAGUAGGAAAACAUUGGAAGUUUUCUUUUGAAAAUCAGGAAAAAAGUGCUCUCAUCACUUCAGUACUUUAUAGACACCCUCUACAGCACAAUAAGUCAAGAAAAAUAAAUUUAAACACAUAAUGGUUGAAAAGGAAAUAAAACUCAUUAUUUACAGAUAAAUGUCUACAUAGGAAUCCCCCAAAGAAUCUAAAAAUAAAUUAGACUAAUAGAAGACUUCGAUAUGAUGAAUACAAAAAAUACAAUUUCAUUUCUAUAUAUCAGACACAAACAAAAUAUUACUUUUAAAUAUUAAUACUGAUUUACAAUCAGCAUAAAAUUAUAAAUUCCAGGGGAAAAACUCUAACAAAAGUUGUGCAGAUUUUAUACAGAGGAAAAUUAUAAAAUUUUAGAGCCAAAGACCAAGGUUAAGCAAGAUAUUACUGAAGAAGGAACAUAAUGGGGGGGUGCUUAUCCUCGAAGAUACAAUGGUUUAUUAUAAAGUUAUAGUAAUUAAGGUAGUGUAGUUCUGGUACAGGACUGCACCAACAAACUGACAGAUGGAUGCAACAGAGAGCCCAGAAUCAAACCUGUGCAUACGGGAGAUUUUAAGACACUGGACGUAUAGACACACUGGAAGUAGUGGGAAAAGGAAACACUAAUAAACAAAUGGGGCCAAAAAAUUGAAAUCAGCUCUUACUUCAUAUAUAAAAAUCCAAUCUAGAAGCAUUAAGAGCUUAAAUGUCCAAAGCAAACACUAACUUUUAGAAGAAAAUAUAAGUGAAUGUCUUUCUGAUAUUAAGGAAUAAUUUUCUAAACAAGACAAGUUUAAUAAUCAUAAAAGGUGAUAUUAACAAAUUCAGAUUCAUUAAAAUGAGCCAUCAAAACGUGUGAUCAAAAGAUACUUUAAAGAAAAUAAAAGCUACAACUUGGGAGAAGUUAUUACUACAAAAAGAAUUACCAUGCAGAAUAUAUAAAGAUUUCUACAGACAAAGAAGUAAAAGAAAAGUAGCCUAAUAGAAAACUGCACAAAAGAUUCAAACAGGCAUCUCACAGAAAAGGAAAUAGAGCAAAGAAACAUUUGAGAAAUGUAAAUGAAAACCAUACAGAGAUACCAUUUUACAACUAUUGAUAAAAGUUAAGAAGUCUGACAUGUCAAGUUUGAAGGGAAUGUGAAUCAGUGUGAUCACAUUGCUGGUAGGAGUGUAAAUUAAUACAACCACUUUGGAAAAUAAUUUGUCAUUGACCUGUAAAGUUCACGCGUUAAGACCCAGUAAUUCCACAUCUAGGUACAUACCCAAAAGAAACAUUAGCACCUGUGUAAUAUGAAAUAGAUAGGAGAAUGUUCAUAGCAGGAAAGCUUGUUUUAGAAAAAGAAAUAGAAAUGACCCAAAUAUCUGUUGGCAGGAGAAAAUAUAUAUAGAAUUUGGUAGACUCACACAAUGGACUAUAACACAGAGGUGAAAAUAAUGAACUACGGUGUUACCACGUGGAUGUCUCAGAAUCAGUGUUGAGUAAAAAGAACAGGGUACAGAAAACAAACUACAAUGUGAUAAUCAUUUUAUUAACCAAGCAAACCCAAUUAUAUAUUAUUUAGGUGUAUAAGCGUAUUUGGUAAGAUUCAUUUUAAAAAGCAAAAGAAUGACAAACACCAAAUUUAGGAGAGGAGCAACCUAUGUGAGAGGCAGAGGACAGGGAUAGAGAGGGUGCCCUGAGGUCAAGGGAAAAUGGUGGUGAUGGUCUAGUUCUUGGUUGGGCAUUGGUUUCAGCAGGUGUUCAUUAGCGAAUAAAAAUAACAAAGUAAAAUAAAGCCGUGCAAGGAACAAUGCUGAGAGUGUGCCAUGAAUCAAGAAUUUCUAUUAUUUGCAUUCUGUGCACUUGUAAUCUAUUUUUUAAAUCGUUAAAAAAUUUUUUUAAAAAAAGGCUGUGAAAACGGUAAAAGAAAUUUUCCGUAAUCCCACUACCCCAGUGCAGCAAGCAACUCCUCCUCAAAGUGUCAGUUAAUGACCUGGAACGUGCCUCUGUGGGUUUCCAAUGAAGUGUGAAGUGCUGCUGUUCUUGUCAACAAACUGUCAAGCCACUUGUGCCACUUCCAGCAGCUCUAAGGUCAGGGGAAUGAUUUGGAAAACUUUGGCAGGGAACUUUAGGAAAGAAACAAAAAAGGUGUCACCUGAGGCUCCUCAGGGACCGUGCUUAGUUUGUUUUAAAAAUCUGGUUCCAAAAGGCUCGUCUAAAUUCUAGAGAAAACAAAUCAGGGUAUUGCAAAGUCAAUGUGUAUUGCAAGUGUCAGCGUUUUAGGUCAUGUUUAUAUUGUAACCUGCUUUGUACUUUUCUUCUGUGUGAUUCAUGGUUAAAAUUUUCUUGAGAACUUAUUACAGCCCUCAGUUUGCAUUUCUGACAGAAAUCAUCAAAUCAUAUCUGAUAUGUUUGAUGUCAAAUCCCUAAUCAGGAAUGUAACUCCAAGUUUAUAACCUUGUUCUCGUGAUAAAAAAUACAAUGCACUUGGCAGAAACCUGUUUUAUGAUGCUCCAACUUAUGUGAUGGUUUCGAGAAAAUUUUUAUAGCAACAGCUGAGGGUUGCCCCCUCACUAAAAUAUUAAUUACAUAGUCGGUGUAAAGCAAUCCAUCUGGACUUCACUUUAUACUGUACAUGUUUUCCUAAAAUGGUGCCUGUGAAACAAAUCCUUGUCUCCAUUACUUCACAUUAUCAUUUCAAAAGCACUUUAUCUUUCUUUCUGCUUGAUCACACUUUGAGGUGGCACCUCCAAAAUGUCAGCUCAGAGUCUCUCUGCCCUUCAGCCUCUCUGAUGAGUAAGUUAACGAUCUGUAAAUAAAUCCUUAAAUGUCCUCAGGAAUCUGCCUUUUGAAGGAAUCCUAUUAGAAACUGAAGAAUCCUUCUGAAAUGCAAAUACUCUCGUCCUUAUUGAACUGGCCUGAAGUGGGCUUUCUGGAGGGGAGCAAACCCCCAACAGAGCCCCUGCCUACCUUUUAGUGGUUCUCAUUGUCUUUUGGGGGAGAGAGGGAAGAAGCAGCCUAGAAAAUCUUUAUCUCAUAUUUUUCAAGAGGAAUAGGAGGAAGAUCGAAAAUAGUCAGGUCUGGCGGCUUAAUCUGGGUUGGCUGCUUUUGCCAGCAAUAUGUAAAAUGUGUUUUUCAAGGAUAAGGAGUUUGGGCCCUGGGCCAAAGCUCACGUCUGUCAUCGACAGGAAGAUGAACGAUCUCUUUAACCCACUGCUAUGCUCUUGUUUACCUUGGUACUUGAUCGUGAACACCAUGCCUGCUGCAGGCCCAGAGCUGCCCAGGGCUGAUCCUUCCCUUUUUCCAGGCAGGACCUUCAUGUCACCAGUUGGGUGGGCAUGACAGGGCCUGCCCUUUGUGGGUCAAACUCCAAACCAGCACCCCUCCCUAGAACUGGUAUUUAGCUUCUACAUGUUGCCUAAGAGGCUCAGGAAGGGAACUGGAAGUACUUUUACUUUUUAAUGCCCACAAAGGUCAUUUCCCAAGAGGUGGGAAGAAUACACACAAGGUUCUUACAAGAGACGAAUGGCCAUCAACUACCAACCACCGAGAGUCUCUGGGGCAAGAACCCUGGCAGAGUCUGGGCUUCACGCACGGAGCUGGAGCAGCACAGCCCGCUACUCUGUAGAGUCUUAAGGGGAUGUCUGCUCAACCGUGUUUCCUGUAAAGUUAACACAGCAGUGCUGAGGGCAGAGCUCAGAGCAGAGGGUUCAGGCAUGAAAAAGGGAUGGGACUGGCAACGUGGCAAGGCCUUGACCCCUUCCAUCUGGCCCUCUCCUGCCUUCCCCGAUCAGCUGAGAAAAAAAAAAAAAGCACAACCUAAAAUUUGAGAAUUAUGUGUUACCUGGCGGUCUUUCUGAGAACUCCAAGCCCAGGAGGCAGCCUCUCAGAUAGUUCUAAGAGACUGUUCCCAUGAGGUAAGGGAGGGGCCAGGAUAUAUAGGAGUUUUGCAACAAAGACCAGGUAACUGGAACAUCAGAAGAUUUCUGUUAAUUAAAGAAAACCAGUAUCUCAAGUUAAUGAAUUCAGUGCUUUUCUGCAUAUGGGAAGAUGCAAGAGCCUGGGUUCACUGACGUCAUUCCUUUGAUGUGCACCUUUGCUACCUAAGGCCAGUAUCCUGGGGUUUCCCAUCCUGAUGUCCUGAUGCACUGUAGAGGUGGCUGUAGCCGCUUGAUGGCUGGAACGUCCUUUGUCUACUGAUAAGGCAGCCACAUUUUUCAUUCACCCCCCCCUCACCAGGAGAGCUGUUUCCUCAGGGGUGGAAAAGAGCAGGGGGUUCUAGCUCGUUCAGGAACCACACGGGGCAGGGCUUCCCGGGAGCCUGGACACGCACGAGAUUUCCCUGCGUCCUGUGCCCUGCCCUUCUCCCAGCGUCUGACUUGCACCUCCUCCGUCAAGAGCAAGUGGACAGGCCCAGCCAAGAGCUGAGAGAGAAAGAGACUGACUCUGACCAAGAGGCAGGGAAAGAGAGACAGAGGAGGGACAGCCAGUGACUAAGUCACUCGCUCAGCCCAGCUUCCCCAAAUCCUGCUUCUGAAACGGGUAGGAGUAUGCAGAGGACAGGACCACGAUGGAGCUGGGGAGUGGGCUGCCACGGAAGGAUAAGAGGAGCCACGGAAUCAAAGUGGCAUCAUCUCAAUCCUACUCAAAGAUUUGGAAAGGAAACAUUGGAGUUUGUUAAACUUAUAACGUUACUUUUUUUUUUUUAACAUCUUUACCAGAGUAUAGUUGCUUUACAAUGGUGUGUUGGUAUCUGCUUUAUAACAAAGUGAAUCAGAUAACAUUACUUUUUAAACAAAGACAACCCUUUUUUUUUUUUUUUUCUGAAGUUGGGUCCAGCUACACCCUUGUUUGUGACUAAAAAGCAAUGACCCAAAAUAGCCCCCAGCCUGUAGCCUCUGUCCACUUAACCCCUCCCUCACCAGGCUUUCCUUGGGCUCUCACUGUGUGCCCCGAUGGGAAAGGUGCUGUUUCUUCCCUCAGGGAGCUCGAAGUCCAGGGAGAAGGAGACAAGUUCAUGGGUGUCUUCAGUGUGAAAGGCUGGGCCCUGACAGGGGACCUGGGAGAAAGCUAGAAAGAGAGGUAGUAAAGCACGGGAUUGGGGUGAUGAGCGAGCUCCCUACCAAGCAGUCACAUCGCCCUGGUCAGGUUCCCUGCCCUCCCAGGUGCCCAUUUCUUCACCUGCCAGAUAAAGGAGUUGCAGGGGACGGGGACCGACGCUGAGGCCUUGCUGGCUUGACGUGUCUGCGGCUCCCUUCACACACACCUCUGCAGAGCCUUCUGCUGUCGAGGGACAGAGCCCAGCCCGAGGGCAGUGCAGGUGGGGUUGGGAUGUGUCAGGCUCCUCCUGACUCCAGAAACCAAAGAUGGUCAUGGCCGGCCCCAGGAUGUCCUAUGUUGCCUGGCAAGCGGGGAGUAGUGUGUGGCAGCGUUGGUCCUGAAAUCUUGCCAGCUGGGCGUGAGGAACAGGCCUGGCGGAAUCCAGGGCAUGUUCACCUCUCACCGGAGGAGCCAGACUCGAUUCUGGCUGUUGCAGAGGCGCCGAGGAUUUGUUCUGGAAUUGUGAGCACCACAGCGACCCCACCCCAGAGAGCACCCCCCUGCACCCCCAGCCCUGCAGCUUCCUCUUCCCGUUCAUUGGUUGCUAGGCAGUACCUGAGAGGAAUUUCACCUCAUCUGGGCAGGUAGCCAAGGGCACAUCUGUAGAGAAUUUCAUAUCCCCCUGCCCCACCAAAAAACACUCAAAGUUAUUGCAUAAAUGUGAGACUUAAGGAGCUCCUGCCUGAGAAACGUACUUGCCCUCCUCCUAUAAGCAGUGCUGUUUUCAAGACCAGUCUUUUAAGUCCUUCGGAGGAAUUCCUGUCCCUCAGUCAAGAUUUAGCCCCAGUGGCCUCCUCCUGUCCAUCCUGUGCACUUCCUUUGUGCACAUCUCUACCAGAGCUUAAGAGCACAGCCUUGCAAUUCAUCUGUAGAUGUGUCAGUCUCCCCACCAGGCCCUGAGCAGAUUCUCAAGGGCAGCAACUGUUCAGGGUGGGGCUUCCAUCACCUACUAAGGAGGCCUCUGCCAAUGCCAAAGAUCUGUGAAGAUUGCAGUCAGUUCCAAAGAUUCUUGUCUCAACUAUUAUCAUCUUAAUUGCUAUGGUCUCAGUUCCUUGCAUAACAGUUUACUUAUUUAUUUAGACCUCAUCUGUCUUACUGAAUGGUGGUGGGUCAUCUGGGGGUCAGACCCAAUGACUGAUGGGUCAUCUGGGGGUCAGAAAAACAGUGAAAAAACGCUGACACUCUGGCUACUACUAUUUCUAGGGAUAAUAAAGUGUCCUUCUCUGACCCAGGAGUCUCAUGUCUUCCACCAAUAUCCAUGAAUUGUGGCAGGUUAACUUAUGAGCCCACGAGUAGGGUAAAAUUGCAGGCCCUUCACAGUUCUUGACAGCUUGGAGCACUGCAGGUAGAGGAAGCAGAAUAUGCAAAGGCCCUGAGGCUGGAGGAUCACAGCCUAUUCUAGGAGAUCAGAAUUGCCAGGAGAUGAGAAUGACUAUGGGAUACAGGUGCAGUGUGAGGUGGCAAGCAAUGACUUCCUUCAGGCUUCUGCUCAUAUAUUACCUUCCCUGACCAUCCUGUUUAUGACCAUCCUAUCUAUCUGGCAGCUUUAGAGAUCCUUUCAAGUAUUUUGUGAUUCUCAUUUUAGGGCAAUGAUCCCUUUAGCAGUGUGGGGAGCUCACUGAAGGAGAACAAGACCAUGGGAAGCUGGAAGACCAGGUAGAGGUUGGUGCGUAAUCUAGGAGGAUGACGCUGUCUGGAUUUAGGCCAUUAUAGGUAGAGAAAAAAAUGGAUGAGUGUUAAAGCUAUUAAGGAUGUAGAAUUGAUGGGACUUGGUGAUUGAUGGGGUGCAAACAAGUAGGGGUCACAGAUGGCUAUUGGGGUGACUAGGUAAAUGGUUCAGGGAGUUCAGGAGAAAUGGGGAGAAUUUCAAAGGGAAAAUUUUUGGCUUAAUAUUAUCUGCAAAACUGAAGUAAAGGCCUGGAAGCAUUGUUUGACAUAAAUUCAAUAGCAAGUAGUCUGUUGCUGGUGCCAGGGUCGGAAUGUGGUUCAGCCUCAGUCCUAAGGCUCACAAACGCACGGAGAAGCAGGUUACUGGGCUUUCUGAUGACUGAGGCCAGCUCCAGCAUGGAUAGCCCCCAUUUAACUUGACGUAUUCACUCUUCUCCAAUUCCUCUUUUCUUUUUCAAUAUUUUUAUUGAUAUAAUUAAAAUUUUCAGUUUUUUAUUUACAUGCAGUAAAAUGCACAGAUCUUGAGUGGACAUCUCUAUGAAUUUGUACCUAUGCAUAAACCAUGUAACCACCACCCAAAUCAAGAUACAGAGCAUCCCCAUGUCCCCCAGGAAGUUCUCUGUGCCCCUUCCAAGUCCAAGAUGCUAAAACCCCCACCAAGUGGAAGAAGUUAACUACACGAUGACCAUGAGCAUGCAGCCCCCAGACCGGCUGGAGCCUGAAGAUGAGUAAUGUUAACCCCUGUGACACCACCCUGUCACCUCACCAUCAACCAGAGAAUUGUGCAUAAGCUGAUCACAUGCCCUGCGACCCCCCACUCCCUCACCUUGCCUUUAAAACUGCUUACCUGACAUCCAUCUGGGAGUUGGGGGUUUUUUGAGCAUUAGAUGCCUGGGACUCCCUGUCUGGCACCUUAAAAUAAACUACUGCCCUUUCCUUCACCACAA